GACAGAGGAGGCAAGCGUUAUCCGGAAUGAUUGGGCGUAAAGCGUUCGCAGGUGGCUGUUCAAGUCUGCUGUCAAAGACCGGGGCUUAACCCUAGAAAGGCAGUGGAAACUGAACGGCUGGAGUGCAGUAGGGGUAGAGGGAAUUCCCAGUGUAGCGGUGAAAUGCGUAGAGAUUGGGAAGAACACCGGUGGCGAAAGCGCUCUGCUGGACUGCAACUGACACUGAGGGACGAAAGCUAGGGGAGCGAAAGGG
rnacentral:rRNA from 1 species